GUGGAAACGGCCCCAGUGAGGUUGAAACGGCUCCUGUGAGGUUGAAACGGCCCCUGUGAGGCUGAAAUGGCCCCCGUGAGGCUGGGACGACCCCUGUGAGGUGGGUACGGCCCCUGUGAGGCUGAGAUGGCCCCUGUGAGACUGAGA